rnacentral:misc_RNA from 1 species
CUUUGUGGCCCUCAACUAAGUUGGCCAAUUUAUUGGAUCAUUUUAAUUAACUAAUAACUGAAAUAUCAGAGAGACAACGUUCCUCAUAUCUGCAAGAAGCUAAAAAGGCGGCAACAUCGGUGCCCUUACAUGUAUGUGCUGCACGACCUUAAAAAGUCAAAAUUUGAAAGAAGAUGAUCUUCCUACAUAUUUACAACUGUUUGUAGCAAAAGAACACCCGCAAAAGAAAAAAAUCCUGUCUUCAUCAUUCGAACAAAGCAAGGUGCCAAUGUAAGCUAGGUGGGUGUUAGUUGAGGAUGCCGCCAUUAUUUAGGACCAGGCACCAAUAAUUUCCAAGUUGUUUACACAAGUCCAUUUGUCAUGUAACUUAUGACAAAUCAAAUGAUCCUUGACCUUCAUUGAUAGCAUAGAGCAACUUUUUGUACAUUAUAUCCUUAGUAGAAUAGGGAGGCAGUUUCAGGUAGUUAGCACAUGUCAUCACACUAGGUAAAUCAUCGUCUGCAGAUUCUGAUGGCAUAUUACCAUUUGGUGCUGUAUUGCUAGCACUAGAUGAAUGCUUUCUCACUAUUGUCAACUUAGGAUUGAGCACGGCCAGACCACCUGGAGGAAGCCGGGGAGCACCAGUCACAAACUGACAGAAUGCUCGUUGCUGCUCAGGAGUGAACUCUCCCAUGAUCUCCAAUAAAUAUACGAUGGCGGGACUCUUGGCUGUAUAUCCAUGAUCAAACUUGAUAUGAUCUACAAGCGUCUCAGCCUUCCAUAACUCUUUACGGCCACAAAGCAGGUAGUCCAACUCAGUAGAAGAGAAUAUUUGCAGAGCUGAAAUCUCAAAAACCUGAUUGAAUCCAGAUCUAAAUGCUUCCAUCUGCCGCCCAAUUCCAGUCCUCACAGUGGCAUCAACCACCAAAGUAACAUAUUCUUCCAAGUUACAGAGAUCCACAUUCUCAUUGCCUGCUUUCAGAACAUAUUCAGGAUAGCCUGGGAGUGUGAAAUCUAAACAAAGAUCCUCAACUGGGAUCCCACGAAAAUGCAGAUCAUUAAUGUUCUCUUGGCCCUGGCCUCCAAUUGAUUCUAGAUUUUGUUUACGGCUAACAAGAGCUUGCAACUCUUGCAAAGUCUUCCCUAACUCAGCAUCAAAAGAAAGAAUAUCAUACAGAUCAAGC